rnacentral:rRNA from 1 species
CUGACCUCAAAUCAGGUAGGACUACCCGCUGAACUUAAGCAUAUCAAUAAGCCGGAGGAAAAGAAACUAACAAGGAUUCCCCUAGUAACUGCGAGUGAAGCGGGAAAAGCUCAAAUUUAAAAUCUGGC